rnacentral:ncRNA from 1 species
CAAAGGUUUGGUCCUAGCCUUAUUAUUAGUUGUCAGCAAGACUACACAUGCAAGUAACCGCAUACCAGUGAGAAUGCCCUCUAGAUAUAUACAAACAUCUACAAUCAACAGGAGCAGGUAUCAAGCACGCUAAUAAUGCAGCUCAAAACACCUUGCUAAACCACACCCCCACGGGUCACAGCAGUGACAAAACUUAAGCAAUAAACGAAAGUUUGACUAAGCUAUGCUGACAUAUUAGGGUUGGUAAAUCUCGUGCCAGCCACCGCGGUCAUACGAUUAACCCAAACUAAUAAUUAUCGGCGUAAAGUGUGUUUAAGAUAGACUACAAAUAAAGUUAAAUUUUAUCUAAGCUGUAAAAUGCUCCAGCUAAAAUAAAAAUAAAUAACGAAAGUGACUUUAGUACUUCUGAAUCCACGAUAGCCAAGACUCAAACUGGGAUUAGAUACCCCACUAUGCUUGGCCCUAAACCUAAGUAAUUUAACCAUAACAAUAUUACUCGCCAGAAAACUACAAGCAACAGCUUAAAACUCAAAGGACUUGGCGGUGCUUUAUAUCCAUCUAGAGGAGCCUGUUCUAUAAUCGAUAAACCCCGAUAAACCUUACCCCCUCUUGCUAAUUCAAUCUAUAUACCGCCAUCUUCAGCAAACCCUACUAAGGUAGUAAAGUAAGCACAAAUAUCCGACAUAAAAACGUUAGGUCAAGGUGUAAUCUAUGAGGUGGAAAGAAAUGGGCUACAUUUUCUAUAAUAGAAUAGUAUUAACAGUAAUCUUUAUGAAACGAAAGACCAAAGGAGGAUUUAGCAGUAAGUUAAGAAUAGAGAGCUUAACUGAAUAUAGGCCAUGAAGCACGCACACACCGCCCGUCACCCUCCUCAAAUACAAUUUACCAACUUCUUAAUAACAAAAAUACCCACUACAGAGAGGAGAUAAGUCGUAACAAGGUAAGCAUACUGGAAAGUGUGCUUGGGUUAAU